UCUGGUUACCCGAGCGCGCAUGGUGGAUACGGGAACGCCGACGAGCGCGCAUGGUGGAUACGGGAACGCCGACGAGCGCGCUCAUGCUCACGCCUCUAUCUCCCCCUUCUCUCUCCCUCAACCGCCCUGAUCCAGAUACACAAGUUCAUGCGAGGCAGAGAGACGGGAGCGAUAUCCGGGAUGAUUCGGGCGAGCGCCUCACGUCCGCGGUUGUUGGGAGCUUCGCUCACCAUCUCGCGGUUGUUGGCGGCGGAAGAUAGAGAAGGGCGAGCGGCCGCGCGGAACAUCGACGACCGAGAGGCACCCUCGUCUGCAACCCCAUCUGCUAUUCUCCCUGACGGCAUUCCUGGCAGCAAGGAUUGAAAGACAUGGUCCAUAUUGUGGCAACCAAGACACAAAUAAAGAACAAAUGGGACAGGUUGAAAGAAUUCAAGGCAUGGAAGAAGUUGAUGAGGAAGACAUGUACUGGUGGGUGCUCUACAAAAGGAACCAUCGAUAUGGCUGGCAGGACAUUCCAAGUUGUGGGAACUUCAAAAUAUGGAGGAACUAGAAAUAUGUUUUGGCAGCAUCACAAGUAUUGGUGUUGAUCACUGGUCUCCUCAUAUGGCCACUGCUUUCACCAUUGCUGAACAAGGAGGUACACCACACGAGGCAAUCAAUUGUGACACAAGAAGAUGGUGACACCAAUGAAUGUGAAGUUUCACCGGUCAGUCCAAAUGACAAGAGACCGCCAACGCCAAGGUUCAAUCAAAAUAAAGGCAAGAAGCAGAAAACAGAAAACAGGGACAACACUAAUCAUCGUUCAAUAAGCAGUUACAUCUAUGUCUGUUUCAACUAAUUCUUAUGCUGCAAAAAAGGAAAAAUUUCCAUUGAUGAAGUGAUGAAACAUGUGCUUGCUUGUGGUGCCACCUAUGGUAGUAACGAGCACUUCAUUACAACUGAAUUAUUUGUCAAACUGACCCAAAAAGAGAUGUUCAUGACCUUUUUUACCGAACAUAGAUUCAACUGGCUUUCAGGGAAAUACAUAACCAAGUAUGGCAAUUAUAGAGGGCCAUGGAUGUGAUAUGAGUUCUACAUGUUUGUUUUUUAUCUCGUUGUGUGAGACUUAUUUGUUUCUUGUUCCUUUCAUUUCUUUAUGUGAGACUCAAUGGAUCAUUGUAUCUGCUAUCUCAUUUGAUGAUGGUUAUGUAUUAUUGUACUAUUACUUGUGUUUGUAUAAAAUCUCAUAUUUGCUAUCUUAUUUGACAUUAUUAUAUGUUUGUUUGAUAUGGGGGUUAAUGAAAAGGAGUUUCCUCGUCAACUACAAGGUAAGUACUAUAGAUGUGGGUUAUCAUAAUCGACCUAGAUAUCUAGCUCUAUAUAAAGGGUGGAAGAUACCACUUAGGGCGUGAUGGUGAGCGCCUAACAACUAUGUUCUGGAGUAGGCAGAUGCAGUGAUGCAUUAUCCUAAAACGAAACUUGCAUUCUUAUUAGGAGGUCAGACUCAUGAGCUG